GACGAACGCUGGCGGCGUGCCUAAUACAUGCAAGUCGACCUUAGUUGCGAACGGGUGAGUAACACGUGGGUCACCUGCCCAUCAGAAGGGGAUAACACUUGGAAAAUGGUGCUAAUACCGUAUACUGAUGGAUGUACCCGCGGUGCAUUAGCGAGUUGGUGAGGUACCGGCUCACCAAGGCCACGAUGCAUAGCCGACCUGAGAGGGUGAGCGGCAACAUUGGGACUGGGACACGGCCCAAACUCCUACGGGAGGCAGCAGUAGGGAAUCUUCGGCAAUGGACGAAAGUCUGACCGAGCAACGCCGCGUGAGUGAAGAAGGUUUUCGGAUCGUAAAACUCUGUUGUUAGAGAAGCGGUAUCUAACCAGAAAGCCACGGCUAACUACGUGCCAGCAGCCGCGGUAAUUC
rnacentral:rRNA from 1 species